rnacentral:rRNA from 1 species
GUGAACUCCGGGGCCGAUGCGGGGGGAAGACGGAGGGGACAAGCGUUAACGGGAAUUGAUGGGGGGAAAGCGCCGGCAGGCGGCUGCUUAAGUCUGACGUAAAAUGUCCUGGGUUAACUGGGAGGGGUCGUUGGAAACUGAGUAGCUUGAGGCAGUGAGAGGGGUGUAGAAUUCCCGGUGUAGUGGUGGAAUGCGUAGAUAUCGGGAGGAAUACCAGAGGCGAAGGCGACACCCUGGCACUGACCUGACGCUCAUGUGCGAAAGCGUGGGGAGCGAACGGGAUUAGAUACCCGGGUAGUC